rnacentral:lncRNA from 1 species
CAGUUGGCCGGGGGACCAAAGGAAGGAGGCCCGGCUUACACGGGGGGCAGCUGAACUGGGGGGCUGGCGAAGCGUUUUAACAGGAGAGAGCUGGAGGAGUAAGACUUGGUGUCUGUGCCGAGGCGUUUUCACUUAAGCCGUGGACACCGAGGAGCCAGUGCAGGGCUGAAGUAGGGGGAUGUCAACAUCUCCGAAGGGACGGAACGGGGAAGCCGCCAGUUGGGGGGACGCGGAGGGGAGCGCGAGGCGUGGCUGGGGCAGUGGCCGGAUCACAAGGACCUUACUGAGGCAGGGUCCAGAUCAGUGACUGCUGGUACUUGUGGGGUGAGGGAGGGAAAAAAGUCAAGAGUGACGCUCAGGUUUUUAUUGAGCUCUGUCUCCCUGAUUUUAUAAAGACUUGCCACCCAAAUGCUGACUCCUUCCCGGCAGGUUUCAGAACACGGCCUCAGCUCACUUGCCCCAUCUUGCCAGCUCAGGCUUCCAAACUGGUACACAUUUCUCCUUUUUUUGUUUUUCGGCUGGCAUCUCAGUUCUUUUUUCUUAACUCCCAUUCUGAAAUUAUUGUAGCAAUUUGGGCACUUCAAGGAAUGGAAGCCCAGUGUCUAUCAGAUGCCCCGUACACAAAUAAUCAAGUAAAUGAGGUUACUCACCCCGGCUGCCCUACAGGGUGGUGUUCGUGGCAGAGUGGCGGGCAUGAAAUGUGACUCGUGCAAUUCCAGAGCGGCUUAUGCCUUCCGUGUUUGGUAGCGGGAGGAUAAAGUACAGGAUUCUGAAGAAUUUUCGGUGAAAGGUAGCCUGGUAUCCGUCUCCCACAUGCGGUGACCGCGGUGGCCACCGCGCCUGGCCACACGGCGCCUGGGCGGACGGCAGUGGAACUGGUCGCGUGCUCAUUCCCUUUAGCCCUUGCCCCCCACCCCGACCCGUGAGAUGGGUGGGGCGUGGGGUGUCCCCAGGAUCCCGCGUGCCCGGGCUCCCCUCCGGCUCAGGCUAAUCCCGUGCCCAAGCCCGAGCCGCCUCGCAGGGCAGGCGCUGCAUUCAUCACCAUGUGGCACGGUCACGUGGUCUCCUGGCUGCCUCCCUGUAGCUGCCGCUCGUCAGCAGCUGGCGGAGCUGGAGGCUGCAGGCCCCUGUCUGCAGAAAGCCUUUGACUUCAGAAUAUUGGGGGGGGGGGGGGCAAACCCCGCCUCUUUUUUCUGCACUUUGCACCAUCUCACUGACUAAAUGGUUGUCCUCCGAACCAAAAAGGCUAGCCGACAGUCCAAGGCAAUUGUCUCCGACUAGGUCAUGUUUGCAUUUGAAGAAUUCAGGUAUGUUCUGGGUUCUCUACAUCCGUCUGCCAGUGGGUUUUUGUUCUCGCUGGGUUUUUGCUGUGUAAUGACAGCUUAGGCUCUCGCUGGUUCUCACACAAAAAGGCUGCUUUUCUGUGGUGGGCUUUGGCAGGGUCCUGGGGGCCGGAGGUGCAGAGGCGGUGCGGGUCGGUGUUGACUGCAAGCUCGGAUGCAGCGUGGAUAAUUGGUUUGAUCGCGUGUAAAGGUGCCGAGGACCCCACCUUGUGCCUCCCUGGCGCUGUGCUGUUGCUGGUGUGGAGUUCGGAAUGCGGAAUGGGAACUGUGCAUCCAGAAGAGUCUCUUGCUAUCUUUUGUGUUUCUUCCUUUGUCGAACUCAUGGAGCCUACUGCUCUUUUUAAAGAGGCUGCUUGUGGCGGUGCAGGUGAAAAAUCCUGCAAGCCUGUCUGCUGAGCGGAGAUGCGGUCUUGGCUGUGAUUUCCUCAUUGUUGCUGGUGAUCUCGUGGCUGGGCAGUUUUCUGGGAAGUGCCCUCGUUGUGUUUUGUUCACAGGCUCCUUCUUUGCUCUGGCAAGCUUUUCAGCUGCUGUAAUUAUCAGUGCUCAAACCAGUCUUUUGUGACUCUUAUUCCUUCUCUUUCCUCCAUCUCUUCUCCGGGAAUCUGCCUCUGGGCGUGAAUGUGAGAAGGGAUGCUCCUACAGAGACGGUUUCUAAGAAAUGGAAAUCGAGGAGGUGGGACGGUUCCCGCUGCUGGUUCUCUCUCCGCACGUCUCCAUCUCUCUGGAGCGCGAGGAGGAGAGUGUGUGUGUUCUAACCGCUGACAGCUUCUCCUUUCUCGGAUGGAACCCCGUGUGUUUUAGGACAGGGCAUGACCCCCAUGCUGAUAGGCAAGGAAGCGGUUGUGGGCGACCCGGCACAGGCCCUUUUCGUUGCCUCUAAAUGUUGCCGCAAAUACACAUUAAACCGAUCAUAGAAUUACCACCGCUCGUUAUUUCCGAGAGGAAACUAGAGACCUUUUAGUCAGAAUCAGCGGGGUCGAUGAGAACCUCACCAGUUUCCACAAGGAAAAGCAGGGCUACACAGAGGUGGUCGCACCCUUUCUAUAAACUUGGGGUUUGGGAUCCAGGAAGUUAUCCUUUGUUUAAGAGCCUGCCUCUGCGUUAUUUCUAACGGACGGGGUUUGUGAAAAGGACAUUCUUCCCAUGUGGCAACAUGCUCUGGUGACCUGGGGUGACACAGUGACCAGAACUUUACUCUUCUAUGAUGGCUCCAUUUGAUAACUAACAAGAAUGUAUUUAACGCCUGGCGUGUAACAGUAGGUAGAUGGGUCCUUAGGGAGUGAGUCGGGAGUCCUGGGUUCUAAUCUCAGUUUCAAAAUGAGCUUUUCUGAUCCUUGGGAGAGUUAGGAAGCGCUUUGUAAAGCCAAGGCCAGGGUAUAAGUAGGCGAGGAAUCAGGAGCCAGAAGCAGCUUUGCAGGUACGGGCAGGUGGACCAGAGCGGGGCCCGUUCUGGGGCCAGAGGUCAACUGUGGCAGUCAGUGCAGCGGCCCUCCUCCGGGAGGGCUGGAAGCAGGGGACCGGCCCGGGUCUCGGGCGAGAGUCCGGGAGCUCAGCUUGUAAUCCUGGUUCUGCCCUGAACCACCUUUGUGAACGGGGCCAGUCUCUUGAUCUUUCUGGGGUUUUUUGUGGGGUUUUUUUGGCUUUUUAGGGCCUCACCCGCUGCCUACGGAGGUUCCCAGGCUAGGGGUCUAAUGGGAGCUACAGCUGCCGGCCUACACCACAGCCGUGGCAAUGCCAGAUCCGAGCUGCGUCUGCGAUCUACACUACAGCUCACGGCAACGCCAGAUCCUCAACCCACUGAGCAAGGCCAGGGAUCAAAGCCACAACCUCUUGGUUCCUAGUCAGAUUCGUUUCCACUGUGCCACAACGGGACCUCCUCUUGAUCUUUCUUAGCCUCGAUUUUCUCAGCUGAAAAAAGGGGAUAGUUCUUGCCAAGGAAAUCUGCAGUGCUGUCGGAAUUAAAUGAAAUAACAUCAACUUACUUUAUAAAUCAUAGCUCUCUUCCUAUAGGAACAUGAAGGGGUGAGAGGACCCUGGGGGCCCUCGGGUUCUCUGCGGACACACCCCUCCACACCCACGCCCAAGCCCUGAGUGCAGAGGGAGCCAGCAGACACCCCUGCCUGACCCUGCUGGUCCCCGAGUCCCCUGAGAGCUUUGGUCUGUCCCGUCUGGUUUCUUUCCUGAGUGUCUGAAGCUGCCUGCCACACUGUAAGGCCCUCGUUGGCAGUUUACUUUCGUGAGGAUUUAACAAGCAGGAAGAAGCACGCAGGCUCCCUGGCUGGCUGGGUGCAGGCCUGGUGUGGGGCCGCGGAGCCCGCCGAGUGCCGGGUCCGAGGAGCGUGUCAAAAAGCUGCAGCUGACCUCCUGAGAAAUUUGCCAAGUGUCCCCGGGACACCCCAGCUGCUGGGUGCCGGGCAGCCCCGUGGCCUUUCACAAGGAAUCUCUGCAGAUGACCUCACUCGAGGGUGGGCUGGCGGUUGUAACAAGGUGCUGGGGCCUGGGCCCAGCCAGAGUCGCAGGGGUGCCGGAGCUUGAGGCGCUGGGCCAGCCUUUCCCAGCUGGCGGGAGCGCUGGUGCCUGCCUGGACUGCACGACCGGGCUGUCCCGACACCAGCAGGCUGUUGGAGCUCUGGUUCCGGGGCCAGACACACUUACUGGUGUUUCUGCUUUAAAACAAAACCCAAAACCCUUCCUCAGCAAGAGGUAUGCUGCGCUGAGAGUUGAAGUCAGCAUUCACCUGUUUUGCAGAGACCGUCUCCGAGGGAGGCAGCUCGGGGAGCAGCGCCUGGAUUAUCUUCCGCCUCUAGACCCAGAGCGGUAACUGCCUUCCCUCACCAGCCCCGGAAUAAAGACCCUUUAUUAUACACCUUGUUAAAACGGCUAUUUAUUUUUUUAAUUACUCAGUGAAUUUUAUUACAUUUGUAGGUAUACAACGACCAUCACAACCCAAUUUUAUAGCAUUUCCAUCCCAAACCCCAGCCCAUCCCCCCACCCCCCAACCUGUCUCCUUUGGAAACCAUACGUUUUUCAAAGUCUGUGAGUCAGUAUCUGUUCUGCAAAGAGGUUCAUUGUAUCCCUUUAUUAGAUUCCACAGGUAAGUGACAGCAUUUGAUGCUGGUGUCUCAUUGCCUGACUUCACUCAGCAGGAUCAUUUCUAGGUCCAUCCAUGUGGCUGCAAAUGCUGUGUGUCUUUCUUUUGAAUGGCUGCGUAAUAUUCCACUGUGUGUGUGGACCACAUCUUCUGGAUCCCCUCCUCUGUCGAUGGGCAUUUAGGUUGUUUCCAUGUCUUGGCUGUUGUAUAUAGUGCUGCAGUGAACAUCAGAGUCCAUGUGUCUUUGUGAGUCGUGGGUUUCUCUGGAUAGAUGCCCAGGGGUGGGAUUGCUGGAUCAAAUGGUAGUUCUGUUUUUAGUUUUCUGAGGCAUCUCCAUACUGUUUUCCACAGUGGUUGCACCAGUUUACAUUCCCACCAACAGUGUACUAGGGUUCCUUUCUCUCCACGCCCUCCCUAACACUUACUGUUUGUAGGCUUUUUGAUGACAGCCGUUCUGGCUGGUGUAAUACGGUACCUCAUAGUGGUUUUGGUUUGCAUUUCUCUAAUAAUGAGUGAUGUUGAACAUCUUUUCAUGUGUUUUUUGACCAUCUGUAUGUCUUUGGAGAACUGUCUGUUUAGAUCUUCUGCUCAUUUUUUGAUGGGGUGGUUUGUUUGGUAUUGAGCUGCAGAAGGUGUUUAUAAAUUUUGGAGAUUAAUCCCUUGGCAGUCAAUUCAUUUGCAAAGAUUUUUCUCCCAUUCUGUGGAUUGUCUUUUCGUUUUGUUUAGGAUUUCCUUUACUUUGCAGAAACUUUUUAAGUUUAAUUAGGUCCCAUUUGUUAAUUUUUGUUUUUAUUGUCAUUACUCUAGGAGGUGGAUCUGAGAAGGAUAUUGCCAUGGUUUAUGUCAGAGGGUGUUUGGCCUAUAUUUUCCUCUAAGAAUUUUAUAGUAUCUGGUCUUAUAUCUAGAUCUUUAAUCCAUUUGGAGUUUAUUUUUGUGUAUGGUUAGGGAGUGUUCUAAUUUCAUUCUUUUCCAUGUGGCUGUCCAGUUUUCCCAGCACCACUUAUUGAAGGGGCUGUCUUUUCUCCAUUGUAUAUUCUUGCCUCCUUUGUCAGAUUAGUUAACUGUAGCUGCGUGGGUUUAAUUCUGGGCUUUCUAUCCUGCUCCACUGAGCUGUAUUUCUGUCUUUGUGCCAGUACCAUACGGUUUUGAUGACUAUAGCUUUGUAGUAUGGUCUGAACUCAGGGAGCCUGAUUCCUGCGUCUCCAUUUUUCUUUCUCGAGAUGGACUUUGGCUAUUCUGGGGCUUUUGUACCUCCAACCAAACUUUAAAAUAUUUUGUUGAAGUUCUGUGGAAAAUGUUUUUGGUAAUUUGAUAGGGAUUGCAUUGAAUUGGUAGAUUGCCUUGGGUAAUAUAGUCAUUUUGAUAAUAUUGAUUCUUCCAGUCCAAGAGCAUGGUAUGUCUUUCCUUCUGUGUCAUCUUUGAUUUCUUUCAUCAGCAUCUUAUAAUUUUCAGAGAACAGGUCUUUUGUCUCUUUAAGUAGGUAUUUUUCCUAAGUAUCUCAUUCUUUUUGAUGUGAUGGUAAAUGGGAUUGUUUCCCUAAUUUCUCUUUCUGAUCUUUCAUUGCUAGUAUAUAGAAAUGCAGUCAAUUCCUGUGUAUUAAUUUUGUAUCCUGUGACUUUGCCAGAUCCAUUGAUGAGGACUCUUAAGUGUGAUGUUUGGCUUCCUGAUGCCUCAGGUGGGAAUAGAACCCAGUCAGAAGCUGUCAUCCCUCAGAAUUCCUGGUACUUAUUCUGGUUUCUUUCCAGAAGGAAGGUGGUAAACCCACUCCAAGAUUUUAAAUCUGCAGUUGGAAUGUAUCUGUCACAUGAAAAUGGGAAGUUGCUGCUUUGGGUCUGUUUUGUUUUGUCUUUAAAUAAACCCUUAUUGUGGAAGGAUUGGAUUCAGACUCAGGCUGGCUCUUUAUUAAUUUGAAUUUAUGGAAUGUUGAAAUGAGUUAAAACGAAUGGCAUCGGGGAAGACCUGAAGUUUGCAAACUGGGAGAGCCCACUUGUGUGUCCAGAGCCCCUGCCAGCUUAGCCCCCUCUCACUUCCCAGGCUGCUGCAACUCCUUGAAGAAACAAAAUAUUUAGGCACAGUGACUUUCACAACGUGGGGGGAAAUAAAUCUCAGAUGAAUAGGAGAUGGAAACUGGGCUGGGCAGGGAAGAGGGUACAGAAACUAGACCAUCGAAUACCUACUAGGUACAGACCCUGCUAGUUGCUUUGCCCCUGGGAACUUUAACCCCUGUGUAGUUUUAUAAAUGAAAACAGGUUUAGAGACAGGGGCAACCCCAAAACCUAUACCUCUGACUCUCACCCUAAUGUUUGUUAAGCGAAUGAAGGAAAUGAGAACAGAGGCUCAGAGAGGUUAGGUGAUUUGCCUGAAGUCACCCAGCAGUUAAGGGGAUCAGGUCAGUUUCACGUCAGUCCUUCGUUCUCAGGUACUCUGUGCCUAGAGUUCCAUCCUGGGAAUUGACCUUGUGUCUUCCACCCAGCUUGGCCUUUUUGAGUCUCUCCUCUGGGCCCAGAGCAGGCUGUAGCUCCAGCACUUGGCUUACCUCCCUGACUGCGAGAGAAACAGGGAAGAGAAAAGAAGCAGAGGCACACCCCCGAGGGCAGAGUAGACUGUGCCCCCACCCCAGCUCUCACAUCCUGUCUCCCUGCAGUACAUACCGGCAUGUAAUUGUGCAACUGCUGGAGUGGGAGCUCUUUGAGGUCAGGAAGCCUGUCUUUGUAACCUCUGUCACCACCAAUUAACAUGGUGUUGGCACUAGGAGGGGUCAGUACACGUCUAGCGGUUAAAAGUCCACAGUACUUAUGUUGAAGGCAUUAGAACGUCUUUAAUUGAAUGUCGCACUCCCUAAUGGUGGGGGCUCAGGUCAUGCUGUCUUGGUUCCCCAGGGCCUAUUAGAAUGCACAGCCAUGUGGGACUUUGAUGGGCAGUGGGAGAACCUGGUUGGAGAAGGUGGCCAGAGGGUGGAGAGUUGAGGGCCAGGAAGAUGGAGCAGGAGAGGGAAGGACAGACGCAUUUCACUGACUUGACAGUUUCGCCUGAUGUUUGUCUGACUAGCCACAAGCAGAAAGUUAUUUUGGGAAACAAAUAAUUUAGCUGUAGGAUAGCCACAGAAAUAUACUUCAAAAUACCAGUCUAGGGAGGUCUCCUGUGGCCGCAGCAGGUUAAGGAUCCCAUGUUGUUGCUGCUGUGGCGCAGGUUUGAUCCCUGGCGUGGGAAUGUCCACGUGCCUCAGGCACGACUGAAAAAACAAACAAAAAAUACCAGUCUAUCCUGCAUUAUUAAAUAGGUGUUACGAUUGUUAAUUUUCGUUCAAAGA